rnacentral:rRNA from 1 species
GACGAACGCUGGCGGCGUGCUUAACACAUGCAAGUCGAACGGAAAGGCCCUGCUUUUGUGGGGUGCUCGAGUGGCGAACGGGUGAGUAACACGUGAGUAACCUGCCCUUGACUUUGGGAUAACUUCAGGAAACUGGGGCUAAUACCGGCUAGGAGCUCCUGCUGCAUGGUGGGGGUUGGAAAGUUUCGGCGGUUGGGGAUGGACUCGCGUCUUAUCAGCUUGUUGGUGGGGUAGUGGCUUACCAAGGCUUGGACGGGUAGCCGGCCUGAGAGGGUGACCGGCCACAUUGGGACUGAGAUACGGCCCAGACUCCUACGGGAGGCAGCAGUGGGGAAUAUUGCACAAUGGGCGGAAGGCUGAUGCAGCAACGCCGCGUGCGGGAUGACGGCCUUCGGGUUGUAAACCGCUUUCGCCUGUGACGAAGCGUGAGUGACGGUAAUGGGUAAAGAAGCACCGGCUAACUACGUG